GCAGCCUGACGCACACUCUGCUUCCUGUGGUGUGCGUCUACCUCUCGUUGUUUUCAGCUCUUCUGCUCUGUCUUUUGGGAAGCAGCAAAGAUCAAAUCGACCCUGUGGUUGUGCUGUACACUGACGUCACCAACACACUGAAGUGCAAGAGAAAAGGUCGAGUACUGAAGAAGAGAAGGAGGUCUUCUUUAUUAUCUUCUGAGGUUGAAUACAGACUCGUUUGUAGACAGAUGCUUUACCCUGUGCAGACUUACAAAGCCGACAGCUGAUGAGGGGAAAU